rnacentral:rRNA from 1 species
AACGAACGCUGGCGGCACGCCUAACACAUGCAAGUCGAACGAAGGCUUCGGCCUUAGUGGCGCACGGGUGAGUAACGCGUGGGAAACUGCCUAUCGGUGGGGAAUAACGACGGGAAACUGUCGCUAAUACCGCAUAAGCCCUUCGGGGGAAAGAUUUAUCGCCGAUAGAUGUGCCCGCGUCCGAUUAGCUAGUUGGUGAGGUAAUGGCUCACCAAGGCGACGAUCGGUAGCUGGUCUGAGAGGAUGAUCAGCCACACUGGGACUGAGACACGGCCCAGACUCCUACGGGAGGCAGCAGUGGGGAAUAUUGGACAAUGGGCGAAAGCCUGAUCCAGCAAUGCCGCGUGAGUGAUGAAGGCCUUAGGGUUGUAAAGCUCUUUCGGGUGGGACGAUGAUGACGGUACCACCAGAAGAAGCCCCGGCUAACUUCGUGCCAGCCGCCGCGGUAA